CAUAGGUUAAUGAGGCGAACCGGGGGAACUGAAACAUCUAAGUACCCCGAGGAAAAGAAAUCAACCGAGAUUCCCCCAGUAGCGGCGAGCGAACGGGGAGCAGCCCAGAGCCUGAAUCAGUGUGUGUGUUAGUGGAAGCGUCUGGAAAGGCGCGCGAUACAGGGUGACAGCCCCGUACACAAAAAUGCACAUACUGUGAGCUCGAUGAGUAGGGCGGGACACGUGGUAUCCUGUCUGAAUAUGGGGGGACCAUCCUCCAAGGCUAAAUACUCCUGACUGACCGAUAGUGAACCAGUACCGUGAGGGAAAGGCGAAAAGAACCCCGGCGAGGGGAGUGAAAAAGAACCUGAAACCGUGUACGUACAAGCAGUGGGAGCACGCUUAGGCGUGUGACUGCGUACCUUUUGUAUAAUGGGUCAGCGACUUAUAUUCUGUAGCAAGGUUAACCGAAUAGGGGAGCCGAAGGGAAACCGAGUCUUAACUGGGCGUUAAGUUGCAGGGUAUAGACCCGAAACCCGGUGAUCUAGCCAUGGGCAGGUUGAAGGUUGGGUAACACUAACUGGAGGACCGAACCGACUAAUGUUGAAAAAUUAGCGGAUGACUUGUGGCUGGGGGUGAAAGGCCAAUCAAACCGGGAGAUAGCUGGUUCUCCCCGAAAGCUAUUUAGGUAGCGCCUCGUGAAUUCAUCUCCGGGGGUAGAGCACUGUUUCGGCAAGGGGGUCAUCCCGACUUACCAACCCGAUGCAAACUGCGAAUACCGGAGAAUGUUAUCACGGGAGACACACGGCGGGUGCUAACGUCCGUCGUGAAGAGGGAAACAACCCAGACCGCCAGCUAAGGUCCCAAAGUCAUGGUUAAGUGGGAAACGAUGUGGGAAGGCCCAGACAGCCAGGAUGUUGGCUUAGAAGCAGCCAUCAUUUAAAGAAAGCGUAAUAGCUCACUGGUCGAGUCGGCCUGCGCGGAAGAUGUAACGGGGCUAAACCAUGCACCGAAGCUGCGGCAGCGACGCUGAUGCGUUGUUGGGUAGGGGAGCGUUCUGUAAGCCUGUGAAGGUGUGCUGUGAGGCAUGCUGGAGGUAUCAGAAGUGCGAAUGCUGACAUAAGUAACGAUAA
rnacentral:rRNA from 1 species